ACGAACGCUGGCGGCAUGCCUAACACAUGCAAGUCGAACGAGACCUUCGGGUCUAGUGGCGCACGGGUGCGUAACGCGUGGGAACCUGCCCUUAGGUUCGGAAUAGCUCCCCGAAAGGGGUGCUAAUACCGGAUAAUGUCUUCGGACCAAAGAUUUAUCGCCUUUGGAUGGGCCCGCGUUGGAUUAGCUAGUUGGUAGGGUAAAAGCCUACCAAGGCGACGAUCCAUAGCUGGUCUGAGAGGAUGAUCAGCCACACUGGGACUGAGACACGGCCCAGACUCCUACGGGAGGCAGCAGUGGGGAAUAUUGGACAAUGGGCGAAAGCCUGAUCCAGCAAUGCCGCGUGAGUGAUGAAGGCCUUAGGGUUGUAAAGCUCUUUUACCCGGGAUGAUAAUGACAGUACCGGGAGAAUAAGCUCCGGCUAACUCCGUG
rnacentral:rRNA from 1 species